rnacentral:rRNA from 1 species
UACAGAGGGGGCAAGCGUUAUUCGGAAUUAUUGGGCGUAAAGGGCGCGUAGGCGGCUUGGCAAGUGGAUGGUGAAAUCCCUCGGCUUAACCGAGGAACUGCCAUCCAGACUGCUUUGCUUGAGGCCGGGAGAGGUGAGUGGAAUUCCCAGUGUAGCGGUGAAAUGCGUAGAUAUCUGGAGGAAUACCGGUGGCGAAGGCGGCAUCCUGGACCGACAUUGACGCUGAGGAGCGAAAGCUAGGGGAGCAAACGGG